CAAACCCAUUCAUAUAUUUUAUGGUAUUGAUGGAGGUGAAUUGUGGCUACAAAUGUGCCUGGUUUACCCCGUUGAAAUGUAUAGGCAGGACAAUGAACCUCAGCGAUAGACUUAGUAACUGUUCUGAAGACACGAACCAGUCCAUUGCUCGGUUCCGCCCUGGCCUCCAUGGACCUCCAUCCAAGAACUCUG
rnacentral:misc_RNA from 1 species